rnacentral:tRNA from 1 species
UAGAAAGAAGUGUAACGGAGGCACUAAGAGUUUUGAUCUCUUAAGGGCGGGUUCAAAUCCCGCUUUUCUAA